rnacentral:lncRNA from 1 species
UGUGUGUGUGUGUGUGUGUGUGUGUGUGUGUGUUCACCUGUCUGAGUGGGCGGGGCCAUUUUCUCCUCCUCAGUGUUUCUCUGAAUCAGUGUCGGACUCGAGCUCACACUCAGCUGCUGCUGAAACACUGAAAUCAUGAAAUCACGCUGAUUUCAAUCUCUGCAGGUGAAAUCACUUUCGUUACAGCAAUGAAGAAAGGAUCGUUCAAUUUCCUGGGUCGGAAGAAUCAAUCUCUAUUCGACACCAAUGUGGAAAUCAGGGACAUGGAUAACGUGGAGCUUGUGUUGGACUCGGCUGCCAUCCCGGAGUCUGGAACCGCCAAAGUGCGCUCGCGUCCAACUGUCAAACACUUCAUGGUACGUCCCAAAACACGCCGAUCACAUGACCAGACUUCACCUAUGAGAUGGUUUCUAACUUAGUAGUAAAGUGAAUUAAAUCACUUACAAAAAGUAUACCAUAGCAUUACCAUGUUUUUUUUGGACAUGUACUAUGGUAACACUAUCGGCUCCAAGCUACUUGGUACAUAUACAAUGCAGUAAUGGCUUUACUAGUGCAAAUGUACAAAAAUACAGGCUAAAACCAUGGUACAUUUCCAAAAAACAGGGUAAAACCAUGGUACAUUUCCAAAAAACGGGGUAAAACCAUGGUUCACUUUUGUAAAUGAUCACUCUACCAUAGUACUACCAUGGUACUUUUUCCUGUAAACAAAUUUUAAAUGCUAGGGUCACUUACAAAAUAAAUACCAUAGUAAUAGUGUUUGUUUUGGACAUGUAAUGAUACUACCAUGGGCUCCAAGGUACUUCCAAAAUACUUAAUUCAAUAAUGGUUUUACUAGAGCAAAUGUCCAAAUAAACAGGUUAAAAUCAUGGUAUACGUGUCUAAAAAAAACAGACUUAAACCAUAGUACAUCCAAAAAAACAGGGUAAAACCAAGAUACAUGUCCAAAAAGCAAUGUUGGGUAAAACCAUGGUACACUUUUGUAAAUGAUCACCGUAACACAGUACUUUUUGGUAAAGUUUUUAGUGUUGAGGUCACUAAAAAAAAAAGUAUUACCCUGUUUUGUUGACGUGCCAAUGUAAUACUGUGUUUUUGCACAUGGUACCAUGGUAUUAUGUUGUUUUUGUACAUGUAUAGUAGUAACGCACUCUUUUUUGGAAAUGUACUAUGGUAAUAACAUGGUAUUUUUAAGUACCUUGGAGUACCAUGUAAAUAACAUGGUAAUCCAAUAUACUUUCCGU